GACGAACGCUGGCGGCGUGCUUAACACAUGCAAGUCGAACGAUGAAACCUAGCUUGCUAGGUCGAUUAGUGGCGAACGGGUGAGUAACACGUGACUAACCUGCCCCUUUCUCUGGGAUAACGCUCCGAAAGGAGUGCUAAUACCGGAUACUCACACCUAGGCACAUGCCUUGGGGUGGAAAGUUUUUCGGAAAGGGAUGGAGUCGCGGCCUAUCAGCUUGUUGGUGAGGUAACGGCUCACCAAGGCGACGACGGGUAGCCGGCCUGAGAGGGCGACCGGCCACACUGGGACUGAGACACGGCCCAGACUCCUACGGGAGGCAGCAGUGGGGAAUAUUGCACAAUGGGCGCAAGCCUGAUGCAGCGACGCCGCGUGAGGGAUGAAGGUCUUCGGAUUGUAAACCUCUUUCAGUAGGGACGAAGCGAAAGUGACGGUACCUAAAGAAGAAGCACCGGCUAACUACGUGCCAGCCGCCGCGGUAA
rnacentral:rRNA from 1 species